rnacentral:lncRNA from 1 species
CCUGAAGCUAAAGCCUCACCAAACCUUCCAUGGACGACAAGGCUCUUAAUGUCGGCAGUGGCCUUCGCCGUCGACGUAUCUUGCCGCCCUAACAUGACCUUCAACCGUCGCCUCUUCAACCUCGUUGACCUAAAAUGCUCUGCUUCAAGUCAACCCAAAAAUGGCGUCAAAUCCUCCGAUAUCGUCAUCGACAGCGGCCGCAAUCUCUGGGUCCGCCUCUACACACCCACCAAUGUUACUGAAACAUCCACCACAAGCAGCUUGCCAGUGAUUGUCUACUUCCAUGGCGGAGGCUUCGUUCUCCUGGCUGCAAACUCAAAACGCUUCGAUGAUCACUGUCGACGGCUCGCCAAGGAGAUCCCCGCCGUCGUCAUCUCCGUCAACUACCGUCUUGCUCCGGAGAAUCGGUACCCGAGUCAAUAUGACGACGGUAUUGAUGUGUUAAAAUUCAUCGACAGUAAAAUCUCAACAGUCGAAGACUUCCCAGAUUGUGCUGACCUCAAACGUUGUUUUGUCGCCGGCGAUAGUGCCGGCGGGAACUUGGCGCAUAACGUGGCAGUGCGAGCUAAUGAGUGUAGCUUUUCCAAGCUGAAGCUCAUUGGAGUGAUAGCGAUUCAGCCAUUUUUCGGAGGAGAGGAGAGGACUCAAUCGGAGGAAGAUCUUAAUGAUAUAACUCCAUUGGUUUCAUUGAAGCUUACUGACUGGAUGUGGAAAGCUUUUUUGCCGGAAGGGUCUGAUCGUGACCAUCCGGCAGCGAAUACUUUUGGGAAGAAUGCCAUUGAUAUUUCCGGCGUGGACAUCCCGGCGACGAUGGUAAUUGUUGGUGGGUUUGAUCCUUUAAAAGUUUGGCAGAAGAGGCACUACGAGGGAUUGAAGAGACAUGGCAAAGAAGCUUAUUUGAUUGUGUAUCCGAAUGUGGUUCAUGGUUUCUAUUUUUUCCCUGAGCUACACCAGGGAUCUUUGUUCAUUGAUAACGUCAGGAAUUUUGUACAAGAUCAAUCUGCUAAAUCAUGAAUGAAGUAAAAAAUGAAUCACUCUCUCACUCUUUGUUUAAUUAAGUAAUUGGAAUUCAAAUUGUACUCACGUGUAUGUACUCUUUCCAUUUCUAAUUGUUGUGAAAUUUUAAUGAUUUUAGCUAGAAAUUAAUUAAGUUUCAAUGCUUGCAUUAUACAUGCCUUUUUAGUGGUUCGUUACCAAUUUUUUAUUUAUUUAAAAGAAGUGAGUGAGUUAUCUCUUUCUCAAAUUGUUUGAGGCACAGAGCCAUGAAAUUAAACAAUAAACAGUCAACGAAAUGCCGGAUUCAAAAUUUUUGUAGUUUUGGCUUUUGGGGAAGAAAUAAUAAAAAGAAGUGGGGCCUAUUUCCACGGGUCUUGAAUUGUGUGAACCAUUUUGAUUUUCUAAAAUGAUACUUGCCUAUGUCGUUUUUGUGGCCCAUGUUGUGUGAAAUGGGAAAAAAUCAGUUACGGGUGCGAUUUUUGUGGUCCUCUUGUGCCUUUUAGGUUUUAUGGGUAAAUGUCAUUGACGUUUUAACUCAAGAGUCCAGCUGUUGUGCAGUGGCCAUCAGUUGUAAAGUAUAGCUAUCACAAGUGUUUUGUUGUUUGUAAUAAACAUUUGAUUAUUUAUAGCAAUAUUAUAGUUACUAAGUAUUUUGUAAUAUAUACAUUCAAUUGUGCAAAUACAUACGUUUCAAAAAGAAAAACUGUGCGAAUACAUAAAGUGUAACUACAAAAAGUUGUUAAAAAUGCAGCAAUUGCAUAGAGAUCACUUAUACUUGUUUAUUGCAGGCUCCGAUUUACAGGCUCCAUAAUAAAUAAUUCCAAUUAUAAAUUUAUCAAUAUAUGUAAAACACAAAUAUUUUAACAAGAGAAAUAGAGGGAGCAAAGAAUAUUUUUUUACUCAAUAAACCAACGCUCUCUCUCUUUAGUGUGUACAAACUUGAAAAAAUAAAAUAAAAUAAAAGCAAACUCUCUUUUUAUAGUCUCAUAAUCAUAAAUUGUUGUAAGUGGAUAGGCAAAUUAAAGGGUUAUAGAUCAUAACCUUUUUGUUGAUAGUCGGAGCUAUGAACCGAUAAAAAAUUGCUAUUUGGGGAGAGUAAAAGUCUUGUUUUAAUGAACAUAUCCAUAUAAAAAUUGAUAUUUUCAUAACAUUUAGCACCGUUAGCAUUGUCGCGCGUAUUUAGAUGGGAUAAUUGAGCGCAUAUUUAGCAUUGAGGUACUAUUGAAAAAAGUUAUAAUUAUGAAAAAAAUUUAUAAUGUAUAGUAAAUAUGACUUUAAAUAAUAAUUUUAUAAAAAUAAUAAAAAUAUCAUAAGUUUUUUAUUACAAGUAAUGGGAUAAAAUUAACUUAAUUUCUAUGCCACAAUAAUUAUUCAUACAAAACACUGCUUUUAAAAUACAACUAUUCAAUUUUAAUACCAAAUAGGGCCUCAGUCGGAUCAGCCCAACCCAGCAUAGACUCAACCUAGUUUUGUAUAGUUCUAGCUUGGCACGACCCGUUUGUAGUGACACAAUACGUGUCCAACGCAAGGCCCGUCUCGUGCUAGGCCCUUAAAUUUAUGUCUGUCCCAAAUUUAGCUAUUUCAUAGUGACCGUAUCAAUUUUAUGACGAAACAAAUGUAUCAUGUAUGAUGUCUUAUUUAUUUAUUUUUUUCCAAAGUUGGUUUUUUAAAAUAUUUUCUAGCAGUGUGCUAACACACGUCUAAUCUUCAAUUCUUUGGCCUACUUUUGAUUAGUAUACCAUCCAUUUGAAUUCCGUUUGAUAUUGAGGUAUUAUAAAAAAAAAAUAUAAUAAUAAAAUAAAAGUUGAUAGUCUAUGAAAUAUAAUUAUUAAUAUAAAAAAUUAUUAAAGAAACUAAAGGCUGAUAGAACACUAAUAAAAUUAAAUAUUAAAUCCAGCCAAAGUUACUUUAUUAUUUGAUUAUUUUCAAUUAGCAUGGUAAUCCCACUCGGUCUUACCUCAUAAAUAUUGUUUUCUAAAUAUAUAAUUUAAAUUAAUCACUAAAAAAUUAAUACAAUGAAUAUAGUGCAACACCAAGUAUAGUAUAAUUAGAAAUUAAUAUAGUAGCAUUAAACACGGUAUAAUAUUAUUACAAUACAACAUUAAUAUAAUACAAUAAAAUAAUACACACUUGUAUUAAAUAAUAUAAUAGUGUACUACAUACAUUCUUAAUGUAAUAUAAUAUAGUGUGACAAACGCAAUCAAAGAGAUUAAUGAAGGUGCCAAAAGUCAACUGUUCUUUAAAUUCAAUAUGGCAUCAAAGUUGAGUACUUUUUUUUUUAUCUUAACCAUGAGGUAUCCUGGGGAGGGCCCCAACUGUGAGAGACACCUUUAAGCCCCUACCACAAUCCAGACUAGAAGUGCUCGCUCGAACCGGGAGGCACAAGUUCUCCCAACAAAUGCAACUUCCCUGCGACUCGAACUGGGGAGCAAAUCCAAUCAAACCACUUAAGAAGACUCCAUUGCCAGUGGAGCCAACACUUUGUUGGUAGAGUCGAGUACUUUUAAGAUCUGGCUGGAAAAUUUUUUACCUGUGUGGGUCUGGUGUCAAAUGCCAACUGUCACUAAUGGAAAUUUACAAAUUUACAAACAAAUUUAAGAUGUUUUGUAGAAAGAGAUGAAGACGAUUUCAAAAAACAGAACAUGGUAGUUAGUUGAUUGUCCUGAAGAGAAAGAAAUCAUUAAAGUGGUCUACAAACAAGGCUCAAUCCUGAUGGCUUAAUACGUAAACCCAAAGUAAGGUUCGUAUCAAUUACAAUAUUUUGGAGUCGAUUACAAUGUAAUGUUUUCUCAUGUUGCUGAGUCGCUCGAUCGUUUGGAUAAAAUUUGAGAUCUUGUUACACUUUCUACUUAAAAAGAAUUGAACAUUUAUCAACUUGAUAUGAAGUCUUACAUUUAUAAAUGGCUACAAUGAAAGAGGAAUCUAUAUGGAAACAACCCCAAAGAUCCGUUAUUCGAGAAAAAGAAGAUAAAACUGGUAAAAUAAAAAAAAAUAUAUAUAUAUUUCAUUGAUGGUUUGACAUUAAAUUUAAUGGACCCAUCGUAAUUACUGCUUCCAGACUCAACGACCGACUGGGCCUGCCUUCUUGAAGUGAUAUGUUGGUCUCACAUAACAUCUUAAAUUUUAAUGCAAUGACAGUUGGGUACGUAAACCAAUCUUUAAUUGAAAAGUUUUUAGGGUUAUUUUUAACCAUUACCUAAAUGUUUCAAUAUAUUUUACCGUGCACCCAAUUAUUUUGAUAAGUAUUACUGCACACCCAUUCCGUUACUUUUUGCCGUUAAGUAAAACGGCAUAAGCUAUUAUAUAUUGAAAAGACUAAAAUACCUCUAAAUUGAAUAGAUUUGGCUGUGCAGAUACAAAAUUACCCAUUUUAAUUUACAAAAUUUACAAUAAAAAUACAAAUCUAAGAGUAUAAAAUAACAAAACUAAACAAUAAACAAUAAACAAAUAAACAAUUUGCUUACAAUUUUAUUUAAUUCAAUAUCUCCAUAUAAAUCUUAUUUUCAAGUGAGGACAAAGUAAAUUUAUAGUAGAGAUUAUACUUCAAUAUACUUAUUAUACCAAAUAAAUAACCACAAAACAAAUAAAAAUACCCUAAAAUUUUAGGUUUUAUUAGUUUUGCAUUGCAGCCACCAACCACCAUCUCUACAAUCGGGACACCAUCAAGGGCUAUGAUUUUUGCAACCGCCAUCCCCACCAUCGUGACACCACCACCAGCACCGUCGCCGUCUUGCCACUACCAGCAUCUCACGACUCUUGUGCACCACCUAUUUUCGCAGCCAAAUUGCUUGCGCUUGCCGCGACCACGCUGUAGCUUGUGAAACUUAAGACGGCAGAGGAGAACAAAGGCGAACAACCCUUGUUGCCCUUCAUCGGAUUUUGGCAACAGCAAAUUACCCUUGUAUUGUUUUUGUUUUACGUUUGAAAUGGAGAAGAAAAUUAAAAAGGAAAGGAAAACGGAGAAGGAAAUGAAUAUAAUUUUUAUUAUUUUAGUUCUUACAUACUUGCAUUUCCCGUUUUACCCUUUUGAUCGUUAAACUAACAUAGAAUUUUAACGUUUUGGGUGCGUGGUGAUAGUUGUCAAAACAAGUGGGUGUACGAUAAAAAAUGUUGAAACAUUUGGGUACUGGUUAAAAAUAACCCAAGUUUUUAACACCUGUUUGAAGUUAACGAGCCACAUGCAUACAAAUAUCUUCAAUAAGCGGUAAUUGGGAAUCACAAAAUAAGUUCAUUUUUUUAUCAUUUGUUAGAACAUGUCUAAAAAAAAAAUUCCUCAAAUAUGAUUUUAUUAUUUAUUUAAAGAAACACAUCAAUAUUUAAAAUUCUAAAAAAUAUUUUAAUUAAAAUUCUUCAAAUAAAAAAUAAUUUUUUCUCUUCAAUUUUAUAAAGUUAUUUUCUCUCUGUUCAACUUAUAUUUUAUUAGUUUUAUUCGAGAGAGAGAAGUACUUUAAUUAUCAUAUAUUUUUCCUUUGAAAAAUAUUUAUUUGUUUAAAAUAAUAUUUAUUUCUAUUUGAUUUUUUUUAAAAAAUAACAUAUUUUCACUCUCCUUUUUACAACAUACGUAAAUAAAUAGAUUUUUAAAGAGUAAAAUUAAUAGAGUCUUUUGGAGAUGCUCUAAUUGUCUAAAUAAUAAAACUAGAGCUGGCAAAACGGGUAGUUGUUUUGUGUUCGUAUCGUUUUAAAUUUAAGUUGAUCCAAACCCAGUCCAUUUAAUAAUCGUGUGAAAACAUUAAGACUAAAAAAUGGGUUACCAAAUAACCCGUUUAAUAUUUAUAUAUUUAAUAAAUGUUACACACACCCGCAUAUACACACCCCCCGCCAAAAAAAUAUUACACAUUUACAUGAUUAAAGUUAUAUAAAAUUUUAUAAAUAAAAUAUUGUGUAUAUAUCUACCCUUCUAAAAAAUAAAAAUAAAAAGAGAGAAUCAUAUCUAAUAUUUGAAUUUUAAUGACAAGAAUCUUGAAAUUAAUUUAAAAAAAUUAUAUAAUCGUGUUGUUAUUCGGGUAAAUGAGUUAAGAAAAUCCUAUUCCAACACAUAAAAAAAUCACGUCAACCCAGACCUAUCCCAUUUAAUAAUUGUAUUAAAUUUAACGAUCUACACCCAUUUAUUCAUGUCAUGUUUGUGUGGAUAAUUAAAUUGAGCCAAAUUUUACCAGCGCUAAGUAAAACGAAUAGAGAAAGCUUAUAAAGGUCAUCCUAUUCUGAAUUCUCCAUAGAAAAUCCUCUGAUUUUAUAUUUUAAUUCUUUAAAGAAUUUUGUUAUGAAGUAAAAAAAAUUAGAAUAGCUCCAAAUUUUUUUAUUAAUAUAAAAAAAUCAUACAUAUAUUCCAUUAUCCCCCAAUUACUAUUAUUUUAAGAAAAAUAAUUGGAAACUAAAGGUGGAUUAAAUCCUAAACAAAAAUAUAUUUAAAAUGAUACCCUUUAAAAUAUACUUUUUGUCAAAAUUUAGUCAAAUUAUAUACAUAUAUUAAUGCUCUUAAUAUAAUCGAACACUUCACAAAGUGAGAAAAAUUUGUGCACGCCUUAGCAGAUUAAUCUGAGCAUUUAAGAUUUGAUAAGUAUGUGGCCUUUUAGUAGGGCCCAUCAAUUUUUAAUGUGAGUAAGAUCUACGUAAUUUAAAAUUAAAAAAAAUUAUGAAUCCCAAUAAAAAAUCACAUUAUAAUAGGGCAAUAUUAUAAAAAUAAGUUAAAAGGAACAAAAGAUAAUGGCAAAAGUGUCAAUAAUUUAAUGGUAGGGAUGAUUUGAGGUAUUUUUAAAAAUAUAGGGACUAAACGAGCUUUUACCCACGAAAAUAAACACGUCCAACUUUAGUUUUUCUCCCAUUGAGCAAUCCCGUUUUGAUCAGCUAGAUUACCUACUGAUCUAGGCUGGUGCUAUGUUACGUUUAACGUAACGUACGCCACACACAACAAUAGUUGCGGACUCCACCAUAAAAAUUAAACGUAACGUACGCCACACACAAUAAUAGUUGUGGACUCCAUCAUAAAAAUUAUUACUGUGUGUAGAUAUACGUUACGUUAAACACAACGCAGCGGGAUCCACUGAUCUAAUAUCUGCAAUAAUUGAAAGCUCAUAAAAGUCUUUCAACUUGGUUAUUAUUAUUUUUCGACGAUAAAGCCAAAGACCUAGACACGGUGAUCACUCAUUAGUUAUUGAUAGCAAAUUUGAAACUAAUAAUAUCAACAUGCCAGAUUCAGGAAACCCUGAAGCUAAAGCCUCACCAAACCUCCCAUGGACGACAAGGCUCUUCAUGUCGGCAGUGGCCUUCGCCGUCGACGUAUCUUGCCGCCCUAACAUGACCUGCAACCGUUGCCUCUUCAACCUCGUUGACCUAAAAUGCUCUGCUUCAAGUCAGCCCAAAAAUGGCGUCAAAUCCUUCGAUAUCGUCAUCGACAGCGACCAUAAUCUCUGGUUCCGCCUCUACACACCUACCAAUGUUACUGAAACAGACACCACAAGCAGCUUGC